UACGGAGGUGGCGAGCGUUGUCCGAAGUUACUGGGCGUAAAGCGUGCGCAGGCGGUUCGCUAAGACAGAUGUGAAAUCCCCGGGCUUAACCUGGGAACUGCAUUUGUGACUGGCGGGCUAGAGUAUGGCAGAGGGGGGGUAGAAUUCCACGUGUAGCAGUGAAAUGCGUAGAGAUGUGGAGGAAUACCGAUGGCGAAGGCAGCCCCCUGGGCCAAUACUGACGCUCAUGCACGAAAGCGUGGGGAGCAAACAGG
rnacentral:rRNA from 1 species